UACCUACGGGCGGCUGCAGUGGGGAAUUUUCCGCAAUGGGCGAAAGCCUGACGGAGCAAUGCCGCGUGAAUGAAGAAGGUCUUCGGAUCGUAAAGUUCUGUCAUUAGGGAAGAAAGGUACGUAUGUGAAUAAUGUACGUAUUUGACGGUACCUAAGGAGGAAGCCACGGCUAACUACGUGCCAGCAGCCGCGGUAAUACGUAGGUGGCGAGCGUUGUCCGGAAUUACUGGGCGUAAAGGGCGUGUAGGCGGGAAUUUAAGUCAGAUGUGAAAACCCCGGGCUUAACUUGGGGACUGCAUUUGAUACUGGAUUUCUUGAGGACAGGAGAGGAAAGCGGAAUUCCUAGUGUAGCGGUGAAAUGCGUAGAUAUUAGGAGGAACACCAGUGGCGAAGGCGGCUUUCUGGACUGUAACUGACGCUGAGGCGCGAAAGCGUGGGGAGCGAACGGGAUUAGAUACCCUAGUAGUC
rnacentral:rRNA from 1 species